GAGUUUGAUCCUGGCUCAGGAUGAACGCUGGCGGCGUGCCUAAUACAUGCAAGUCGAACGCGAGCACUUGUGCUCGAGUGGCGAACGGGUGAGUAAUACAUAAGUAACCUGCCCUAGACAGGGGGAUAACUAUUGGAAACGAUAGCUAAGACCGCAUAGGUACGGACACUGCAUGGUGACCGUAUUAAAAGUGCCUCAAAGCACUGGUAGAGGAUGGACUUAUGGCGCAUUAGCUGGUUGGCGGGUAACGGCCCACCAAGGCGACGAUGCGUAGCCGACCUGAGAGGGUGACCGGCCACACUGGGACUGAGACACGGCCCAGACUCCUACGGGAGGCAGCAGUAGGGAAUUUUCGGCAAUGGGGGAAACCCUGACCGAGCAACGCCGCGUGAAGGAAGAAGGUUUUCGGAUUGUAAACUUCUGUUAUAAGUGAAGAAUGCCAUAUAGAGGAAAUGCUAUGUGGGUGACGGUAGCUUACCAGAAA
rnacentral:rRNA from 1 species